rnacentral:lncRNA from 1 species
CUGGGAGUAGAUAAUUCUGGAGGUAGAAGAGAAGCCUCGUAGUAUCCCUGGCGAUCCUUUGUGUACAAACAAAUAGUUACGAUCUUCAGAGAAUACAUGCAUCUGUCCUCUGUUUCAGUUUGGGCCCAUCUCCAGACUGAGAUCCCAAGUGGAGCAUUAUCAUAACUCGAAUCGCUGUUUCCCGGAGGCUGCACGUCUCGCACACUGUCCUGCUGUGGCCGGGAACGCGCGAGGCUUGCGUCACCAUUGAGAACAUGUGGUUAUUCAUUCAUGUGGCACUUACCUUGGAUAUCCUCAGCAACCAGAGAAAGCAGCUCUUCAAAAUGUAUGGAGACAGCCACCAGAUCAUGGCAAUAUGCAAAAUACGUGGUGUUGUAACAGAAUUAUGAAGUGACCUCUGGGACAGUGGUGAGGCAGAACUGCUUCUCGAGACAGCAGUCAGGUCUUGUUGUGAGCGCGGCGUUCAUGUGGGGGUCCUGCAGGAAGCCAGCAGCCCCCCGGCUGCCCAAGGUUGGUGUGAGGCUG